UUUAGAGUAAAAUCAAAGGACGUAAAUCUUGCUGAAAAAAAAAAACGAAAAUAGUCGAUAGUGCUAAAAAUGAGAUCGAUAGUGAGUGACAAAAUUCACUAUCGAUAGUGCAAUCGAUGUUAUUGCAGUACUAGUUUGCCGUUUUUGUUUUUCUCAACAGAAUUCACUGAGGAAUUAUUGUUCUAUUCAUAGCGCAAAAUAUAGACGAUAAAUAAGAGUAUUAAAUGCGUAUACAGCUUGAAUAAAUUAAGUGUAAAGGUGCUCAAAUAAGCGCAGCGCAAAUUAGCAAAAAAGUAUGCUGAAUUUAAGAGGCGAUACGUAGACCAGCCAACCAAAUUAUCUGCAGCACAGAUUAAGUAGACGAGGGAAAGUGAGGCAUUACCACUAUUGUUGGUGUCUUGUCGGUCAUCUUAAGCAUUAUUUGCAAGCCGAUUUCUAAAGGUAUUUGAUUACCGGUGAGUAACAUACAUAUAAGAAAGAACGUGCAGCUCUCUCCGCCACAACAAUGUACUGUCUACAAUGUCUGCUGCCAGUUUUGCUUAUACCGAAGCCAACAAAUCCGGCACUCAUGGAGACGCAUGUUAUGUUCAUUGUUCUCUACCUAAUUGGCUUCUUUCUAGAGCGAAAGCCAUGCACCAUCUGCAGCUUAAUAUUUUUAACAGCAGUAUUUCUAAUUUGUUAUAGCGGAGUAGGAAAUUGUAUUUUUUGGGGCAACUGUGAAGGACAUCAAUGUGAAAAUGGGUAAAUAAGUGUACCGUGGCCGUGUUCGGAGGUAAAUGGAUACGGUGCGAGUGGUGGACUUAGCAUUUCACUUGCUAUCGAGUUUACUCCAUAUUUAUGUAUCCUACAGAUUAACAAAAGUUAUUAAAUUAUGUCAGUUUCUUACUUUCUAUAGUUCGUUUUUUUUUAAUGUUGUGUUGCGGUCGUGUUUUUUGUAUUAUAAUUUAUGAAAAAUGUUUUAACAAAAUAUUAUGUGUAACACUUUUAAGUCAUUAUUUUCCUUUUCAGUCACAUAUGUAUAAAGGGUAAAUGAAUAUUCUUUUGCUUUUUUCCACAAUAAUUAUUUUUACCCUUAAAUGUUAAGCCGUAAUACGCCACUGUUCUUCAAACUGGCCUCUAAUUUAUUAUUCAGAUAGCUUUAAUAUUAAGCCUUUAGAUGCAGAUUGUAUUCUAAUCGAAAGCUUCAUCAAUAUGCUUUUGUCUGAUAAGCCAUAAACUUAUCACAUUCGGUUCAGUAAGGGAGUAUAAAAGACGGCUCGGAAAUAGUUUAUGAUUGAGAAUCAAUAAAAUAAACCACCCACAAUACACAUAAUCGUACACACAAAUGUAUGUACUUAUUUAAAUUACAUUUAAAAUAAACUCAAAUAUAUAGCAAAGAAAAAGUUAUUAAACUGCAUAUGUAGCUAGAUAUUAAAAGUUCUUAGAUUUAUCAAAAGACGAACUCUGAACAACUUGUGCUAGCAAUUGUCUGUGUGAAUCUUAUUUGAAAAAUACGGGCAUGCUGUUGUAUAAACUAAAUAAUAAUUUAACAAAUACCUAGUUCUCAAAAAUAUAUAUUUCUAAUCGUCAACGUUACUAUUUUUAUUAUAAACAUGGAACGAAAGUGCAUAAAUUUGGUUGUUAUUCCCUUUUUAUAAUAUGUACAGUAAAAUAAACAUGAUAAAUAAUUAA